AACGAACGCUGGCGGCAUGCCUAACACAUGCAAGUCGAACGAGACCUUCGGGUCUAGUGGCGCACGGGUGCGUAACGCGUUGGAACCUGCCCUUAGGUUCGGAAUAACUCCCCGAAAGGGGUGCUAAUACCGGAUAAUGUCUUCGGACCAAAGAUUUAUCGCCUUUGGAUGGGCCCGCGUUGGAUUAGCUAGUUGGUAGGGUAAAAGCCUACCAAGGCGACGAUCCAUAGCUGGUCUGAGAGGAUGAUCAGCCACACUGGGACUGAGACACGGCCCAGACUCCUACGGGAGGCAGCAGUGGGGAAUAUUGGAAAAUGGGCGAAAGCCUGACCCAGCAAUGCCGCGUGAGUGAUGAAGGCCUUAGGGUUGUAAAGCUCUUUUACCCGGGAUGAUAAUGACAGUACCGGGAGAAUAAGCUCCGGCUAACUCCGUG
rnacentral:rRNA from 1 species